rnacentral:rRNA from 1 species
UUGAGUGCAGAAGGGGAGAGCGGAAUUCCAUGUGUAGCGGUGAAAUGCGUAGAUAUAUGGAGGAACACCGGUGGCGAAAGCGGCUNUCUGGUCUGUAACUGACGCUGAGGCUCGAAAGCGUGGGGAGCGAACAGGAUUAGAUACCCUGGUAGUCCACGCCGUAAACGAUGAGUGCUAGGUGUUGGGUCCUUUCCGGGAUUCAGUGCCGCAGCUAACGCAUUAAGCACUCCGCCUGGGGAGUACGACCGCAAGGUUGAAACUCAAAGGAAUUGACGGGGGCCCGCACAAGCGGUGGAGCAUGUGGUUUAAUUNGAAGCAACGCGAAGAACCUUACCAGGUCNNGACAUCCCGAUGCUAUUUCUAGAGAUAGGAAGUUACUUCGGUACAUCGGUGACAGGUGGUGCAUGGUUGUCGUCAGCUCGUGUCGUGAGAUGUUGGGUUAAGUCCCGCAACGAGCGCAACCCCUAUUGUUAGUUGCCAUCAUUCAGUUGGGCACUCUAGCGAGACUGCCGGUAAUAAACCGGAGGAAGGUGGGGAUGACGUCAAAUCAUCAUGCCCCUUAUGACCUGGGCUACACACGUGCUACAAUGGUUGGUACAACGAGUUGCGAGUCGGUGACGGCGAGCUAAUCUCUUAAAGCCAAUCUCAGUUCGGAUUGUAGGCUGCAACUCGCCUACAUGAAGUCGGAAUCGCUAGUAAUCGCGGAUCAGCACGCCGCGGUGAAUACGUUCCCGGGCCUUGUACACNCCGCCCGUCACACCACGAGAGUUUGUAACACCCGAAGUCGGUGAGGUANCCUUA